rnacentral:lncRNA from 1 species
ACCCUGCCAGUUCAUGAUGGAACAAGAGAAGAAAUUUAUAGAAUACCCUAUGUACGUGUUGUCUAUUUUUGAAGGAUGCAAAAUCCUAGUUACUCUACCACACGACUAGUGUAGCUAGCCACCUAAGUUCAGAAAAAAAAAGCGUACCUAGCCACCUCAAAAAUACAUAUCUGGAAGCAACUGUCAAGUAUACGCCUUGUAAGCUCAAUGAAAAAGAACCUAAGAGCCGACAAAGCACUGUACGAUUCGCCA